UCUACAUGUCAAUACCGGCAACAAUGAAAUUGAUAGUAAGAGGAAAAUCCGUCGACUUUAAAAAUCGUGAGNNNUCAAGUCCCUCUAUCCCCAAAAG
rnacentral:tRNA from 1 species